rnacentral:rRNA from 1 species
UACGAAGGUGCAAGCGUUACUCGGAAUCACUGGGCGUAAAGCGCGCGUAGGCGGACAUGUAGGUCAGUUGUGAAAUACCUGGGCUCAACCCGGAAUGGCAGCUGAAACCGUGUGUCUUGAAUACCUGAGAGGGUGGGGGAAUACCUGGUGGAGAAGUGAAAUUCGUAGAGAUCAGGUGGAACACCGGAGGCGAAGGCGCCUGCCUGGCAGUGUAUUGACGCUAAAGUGCGAAAG